GAUGAAGAACGCAGCGAAAUGCGUUAAGUAAUGUGAAUUGCAGAAUUCAGUGAAUCAUCGAAUCUUUGAACGCACAUUGCGCCCGCCAGCACUCUGGCGGGCAUGCCUGUUCGAGCGUCAUUUCAACCAUCAAGCCCCCAGGGGCUUGUGCUGGGGCCCUGCGGCUGCCCGCAGGCCCUGAAAACCAGUGGCGGGCUCGCUAGUCACACCGAGCGCAGUAGCACAUCUCGCUCAGGGCGUGCGGCGGGCUCCUGCCGUGAAACCCCCCACUGUAACCCCAAAGGUUGACCUCGGAUCAGGUAGGAAUACCCGCUGAACUUAAGCAUAUCAAUAAGCGGAGGA
rnacentral:misc_RNA from 1 species